GGGUGAGUAACACGUGAGUAACCUGCCCUUAACUCUGGGAUAAGCCUUGGAAACGGGGUCUAAUACUGGAUAUUGACAUUUCAUCGCAUGGUGGUUUGUUGAAAGAUUUAUUGGUUUUGGAUGGACUCGCGGCCUAUCAGCUUGUUGGUGAGGUAAUGGCUCACCAAGGCGACGACGGGUAGCCGGCCUGAGAGGGUGACCGGCCACACUGGGACUGAGACACGGCCCAGACUCCUACGGGAGGCAGCAGUGGGGAAUAUUGCACAAUGGGCGAAAGCCUGAUGCAGCGACGCCGCGUGAGGGAUGACGGCCUUCGGGUUGUAAACCUCUUUCAGUAGGGAACAAGGCCAGUGUUUAGCUGGUUGAGGGUACUUGCAGAAGAAGCGCCGGCUAACUACGUGCCAGCAGCCGCGGUAAUACGUAGGGCGCAAGCGUUAUCCGGAAUUAUUGGGCGUAAAGAGCUCGUAGGCGGUUUGUCGCGUCUGCCGUGAAAGUCCGGGGCUCAACUCCGGAUCUGCGGUGGGUACGGGCAGACUAGAGUGAUGUAGGGGAGACUGGAAUUCCUGGUGUAGCGGUGAAAUGCGCAGAUAUCAGGAGGAACACCGAUGGCGAAGGCAGGUCUCUGGGCAUUAACUGACGCUGAGGAGCGAAAGCAUGGGGAGCGAACAGGAUUAGAUACCCUGGUAGUCCAUGCCGUAAACGUUGGGCACUAGGUGUGGGGGACAUUCCACGUUUUCCGCGCCGUAGCUAACGCAUUAAGUGCCCCGCCUGGGGAGUACGGCCGCAAGGCUAAAACUCAAAGGAAUUGACGGGGGCCCGCACAAGCGGCGGAGCAUGCGGAUUAAUUCGAUGCAACGCGAAGAACCUUACCAAGGCUUGACAUGAACUGGAAAUACCUGGAAACAGGUGCCCCGCUUGCGGUCGGUUUACAGGUGGUGCAUGGUUGUCGUCAGCUCGUGUCGUGAGAUGUUGGGUUAAGUCCCGCAACGAGCGCAACCCUCGUUCUAUGUUGCCAGCACGUUAUGGUGGGGACUCAUAGGAGACUGCCGGGGUCAACUCCGAAGGAAGGUGAGGACAACGUCAAAUCAUCAUGCCCCUUAUGUCUUGGGGUUCACGCAUGCUACAAUGGCCGGUACAAUGGGUUGCGAUACUGUGAGGUGGAGCUAAUCCCAAAAAGCCGGUCUCAGUUCGGAUUGGGGUCUGCAACUCGACCCCAUGAAGUCGGAGUCGCUAGUAAUCGCAGAUCAGCAACGCUGCGGUGAAUACGUUCCCGGGCCUUGUACACACCGCCCGUCAAGUCACGAAAGUUGGUAACACCCGAA
rnacentral:rRNA from 1 species